UACGGGGGGGGCUAGCGUUGUUCGGAAUUACUGGGCGUAAGGGCGCGUAGGCGGCCUACUAAGUCGGACGUGAAAUCCCUCGGCUCAACCGGGGAACUGCGUCCGAUACUGGUGGGCUCGAAUCCGGGAGAGGGAUGUGGAAUUCCAGGUGUAGCGGUGAAAUGCGUAGAUAUCUGGAGGAACACCGGUGGCGAAGGCGGCAUCCUGGACCGGUAUUGACGCUGAUGCGCGAAAGCCAGGGGAGCAAACGGG
rnacentral:rRNA from 1 species